AUUGAACGCUGGCGGCAGGCCUAACACAUGCAAGUCGAGCGGAUGAUGGGAGCUUGCUCCCGGAUUCAGCGGCGGACGGGUGAGUAAUGCCUAGGAAUCUGCCUGGUAGUGGGGGACAACGUUUCGAAAGGAACGCUAAUACCGCAUACGUCCUACGGGAGAAAGCAGGGGACCUUCGGGCCUUGCGCUAUCAGAUGAGCCUAGGUCGGAUUAGCUAGUUGGUGGGGUAAAGGCCUACCAAGGCGACGAUCCGUAACUGGUCUGAGAGGAUGAUCAGUCACACUGGAACUGAGACACGGUCCAGACUCCUACGGGAGGCAGCAGUGGGGAAUAUUGGACAAUGGGCGAAAGCCUGAUCCAGCCAUGCCGCGUGUGUGAAGAAGGUCUUCGGAUUGUAAAGCACUUUAAGUUGGGAGGAAGGGCAGUAAGUUAAUACCUUGCUGUUUUGACGUUACCAACAGAAUAAGCACCGGCUAACUUCGUGCCAGCCGCCGCCGUAACAC
rnacentral:rRNA from 1 species